rnacentral:rRNA from 1 species
CCCCAGCGCCACGAGUGGUGUCCGCGUUUAUUGGGCCUAAAGCGUCCGUAGCCGGCUCUCUAAAUCUCUUGUGAAAAGGUAGCGCUUCACGUUGCCAAGGGCAGGAGACACUGGAGAGCUAGGGAUUGGGAGGGGUGCGGGGUAUGGGUAGGGAAGCGGUAAAAUGUUAUAAUCCUGCCUAGACCACCAGUGGCGAAGGCGCCGCACCAGAACAAAUCCGACGGUGAGAGACGAAAGCUAGGGGAGCGAUCCG